rnacentral:tRNA from 1 species
GCAGUCGUGGCCGAGUGGUUAAGAAGAUGGAUUAUAGAAAUCCACUGGGGUCUCCCCGCACAAGUUUGAAUCCUGUCGACUGCG